CUUGAAGGGAAAUAAUAUUACGAGGAUGGUCGAAAGCACCCAGAUGAUGAUCUUCAGGCGUCCCUUUUUCUCCGGCGGCGCCACCUCGUAGGAUCCCACGCACCAGAAGAACAGCAUCAGGAGUACGUAGGCGGACACAACAAAGGCCGCUGUCCAUGGAUCGCUCCGGGCUCGGUAGGUCGCCACCACGGAUGUGUAGGUGAGGAACCCUAGAGGGGCCUUAUUCAACAAGGACCGAACCCAGCCGCUGUCGAGGAUACUCAGGAUGCUCGCGGACGGAGCCGCCGCCGCGCGACGCGGACGACGCUGCGGCGGUGGGCCAUCCGGCGGCUCGCCGCUGGGGUGGGAGGAAGUUCGCUGCGCUGCCAUAGAUAGGGUUUCUGAUUGGAAUCGGGAAGGACCGGGAGAUAUACCAUAAAUCCACAAAACCUAAUUAUAAGGAAAAAUGAUAAUUAGGGCUUGAUAAAUUAGUAUUAUAUAUAGACUAUUGGAAAGUAUAAGCUUAAAAAGCUUAAACAACACUAGGGUUUCCAUAGACAUCAAGGCCAUCUUGGUGCAGCAAUGGCUCCCAAUGGCCUUUUAUGACAAGAUAUUAUCCAUUAUCCGCCAUAAGGUGUCUCUGAUCAAAUGGUGACACUACUUGUUAGGUUAAUAUUUUGAGAUCUACACCGUACACUUAAGUUUUUGCUAGAUCAAUGGCAAGUAUCAAUAAAAUAUUAAUGUUGGCUUCAUAAACCUAUAGGCUUUGAUUUCUAGAUCUCUUAUAAGACGAGUAAUCAACAAAGCUGCAAAUGUACUAUCUUGAUUCCCCAAUGAGCUAAACUUUCCACAAUUGAUCUCCACAAAAAUGUCAAUCAACUUCAAUUAGAUCUAAUAGAAAUAUCAGAUGGCUGACAAGAUUAACACAAUCAUAGGAGACAUCUAGACACAACCAACCAAAUGGCAUAAAUAUAAGCUACAGUGAGGUGUUUUGCUUUGAAACAGAUGACCACUAUUGGCUCGCACCUCCCCUUGAUCUUGAAACUCCACGAGUUUCAUGACUCAAUAGUCGGAGGCCACUUAGGAUUCAUCUAAACCUACAAGCAGGUCAUGUAGAAUGCUUAUUGGCUAGGUGUCAAGGCCCAUAUCAAGGUAUACAUCAAUCAAUGUGGCAUCUACUAACACAAUAAGGUGAAAAAUGUGCACCAAAUCAACUUGCUCCAGCCCCUGCCUAUUCCAAAGAAGAUUUUGGCUAACAUAUUAAUACACUUCAUCAAAGGCUUACCUCUCGUUGGAGGAUUUAAUGUCAUUCUAGUUGUGGUCAAUCACUUUAGUACACCUAUUUCUUCAAUAUGACGCAUCACUUCACUACGACAAAUGUUGCUUAGACCUUCGUCCAAGAUAGCCAAGCUCUACAAGAUACUAGACAAGUUCUUAUUAAAUCAUGAUAAGAUCUUCCGCAGCACUUUUUAGUGGGAGCUUUUUUGACUUUAAGGCAUUGUACUACACUGCACCUACCAUCAGUAGACUAACGGCUAAAUAGAGAUGGUCAAUUAUGAUCUCAAAACAUACCUAAGAUGCAUCACAAGAGAUCACCCAUGCUAAUAGCACAAAUGACUGUUGUGGGCCAAAUUGUGGUAUAACACAACUUUCAACUCCUCCACAAGAAUUACAUCAUUUUAAGUUGUCUAUAGUUGUGGGAGCUCACGACUCUUAUCUACUAUGAAGCAACUUCUGCACGCACAGAGGGUGUGGAUAAGCUGCUCUACGAGUGGAAUGCAUGUCUCGCCCAAUUAAAGGAGCAUCUCUAUAAAGCUCAGCUCAAAAUGAAGCACUUGGCUACUAGGAAGUGUCACUCCAUGGUCUUCACACCGGGUGACUACUUUCGCCUCCACCCAUACCAUCUCAAGUCACUCAUGCAGUGACCCUUCGAGAAGUUAGCGGAAAGAUUUUUUGGGCCAUUCCACAUAUUGUAAUGCAUCGACGCCGAGGCCUACCACUCGGAGCUUCCCUUAAAUUCUCAAAUACAUUCGGUCUUCUACGUCUCACAGCUCAAAUCAGCCAGAGGCAACUAGCACAUAUAGCCGUAAUCCCUCUUAGUCGACAACAAUGGGAGGUGGUUCCGGCAGAGGUCACCACGACAUGUCAUACACUCAGAAUACUCGAGGUACUAGUGGCAUGACCUUCCCUGUGCUGAGUCAACAAGAGAAUCAGAAGAACAUUAUCUGAAGGAGGACAAGGAAUGGGGAAGACCAAACACCACAGCAGGAGGCUUAUAGAAUAGCCUGAUGGACACGAUAAAUGCACGAAGAGUGUAACCCCCGUAAUCACUCAUCUCCCAUUACCACGCCCCGAUCCUGUAUCUGCCUUUGUCCUUUUCUUCAGUUGACCAGUCCAUUCCCUUCUCUCUCCAUCGUCCGCUGCCAUCUUCUCCUGCUUCCUCACCCCAGUCACUAUCUCCCGGCUUCCUCACCUCUCCUCCACGGAGGCUGGUCUUCUGCCACGACCAUCGGGCUGGGUCUUCUGCCUCUCCCUGCCCGCCGCCAAUACCUCCAGUUGUCGGGUCACAUCACGAAUCGGCCAGUUGGAUUUCCCAAGCCUUUCUUUCCUUCUGCCGAGCGUGGGUGCCGAACCCGCCCGCCCGCCGCCAAUACCUCCAGUCAAACCAUCCGUCCCCUUUGGCUCCCCGCUUCCGCGCCGGUGUGAGGAAGCGACGGGCGGAGAGUACGGGCGGAGAGAGGAAAGCCCUGGUAGCCCAGCUUCUUCUUUUUGUCACCGUCACCGUCCCGCCCCGCCUCUCCCCGGCGGGGUCUUCCUCCUCACCGUCGCCAUCUCCGCUCCCAGCCAGCGCCCGUCGCCAUCUCCGCUCCCAGCCAGCACCCGUCGCCAUCUCCCCUCCCCGCCAGCGCCCUUCACCAUCUCCCCUCCGGCCAGCGCUUCCUCACCUCUCCCUGACGGGGUCUCUUCUGCGACGACCGUCGGGGUGUUCCGUUCACCCCCGUCGCCGUCCUCACUUUUUGCACUUCCGCGCUUCCUCUCCGCGGGAGAGGACGGGCGCCGGGUAAAGGCCGCGGCGUUUUAUAUAGACGGCGGACACUAUAAGAACAUCCGAUGUGGAAGUAAAGAACCUACGCCUCUCUGCAACCAUGCCAUCUGCAACGUCUUCCCUCUCCACUGAGGUGGAGAAUCAGUCUAGGCAGCAAUUCGCUCUGGUGCUUCUCGGGACCUCCUCCACGAUGACGGACACUCAGCAACUAGCGCAGGGCUUCUGGCGCCUCCGCCUCUUCGAGCUUUACUUAUCCUUUGUUUACCUGACUUUCACUGUGGCGGUCGUCCUCUCCGCUCUCUCCCUCCCCCCACCUGGAAAAGUUGCUCCGACGACGGCCUAGAUACAGCCGUGUGCGCCACCCGUCGCCCUCUUUUCAGUCACGGCAGCCUUCAUGCUCAGCUCAUGCCUUGCCCAUUCUCCUUCCUCGCUACUUAUCGUCUGAUUUCUCCUGUUCCCCAUGGCGCUCGCCUUCCUCCUUGCCUGGAAUAAAUGGAAGGGCCGCUCCACCGUCCAAGACACCAGCGACGAAAUCCCGCUGGUCGUCGGGCGCCACCAAGAUCCCUACCCCUCGUCUUUCCCACUGCUGGAACUAGGCUCUUCACCAUGCUCCUUCUCGGGUCCGGGGGAGGGGAAGUGCAACGUCUGGCUCGGCACAGAGCCAUGAGACAUUGUUCCCAACCAGUUAGCCUCGCCAUGCAGAUAUACUCGUCUGAGUGUGAUUUGUGUCUGCCACGAAAGACUACUCUUGAGCCUAUACUGUGUGCUGUGCUUCCCUCAUGCAAACUGCCCUUCUUCGCAUAGAGUUGCUCGCAUUCUGUUGACAUAAGGGGGCAGAAGUUGUCGGGUUCGAUAUCUAAUGUAAGUGGAAAAUAAAAUCAAAAAUAGGAAUCUAGAUUUGGAUGUAUUUAAGGUACUUCUAAAUAUCUUAUUAGGCCGUAUCGAGCUGAAUUUGGAUCAAAAUGUGUCUUCAAGUGUCUUGGGCCUUCGGUUCACUCGAACUGAGCUGAAACUGGACUGCAUCAACAAUCCUUGUGUAAGACCUCUAGAUAUCUCUUUUCAUAAUGGCGCAACUGAUGUUGUCAUAGUCGAGAUGUCAGCCAAUAAAGUUGAACCAAAUCGUUGGCCCCUCGGACUUAGCAGCUUUGAAAUCUGAGUAAUUGUCGAGUCAUAAUCAAAUCUUUGAGGAUUCAAAAGUUAUGCGGACUUCGGGUGAAGAAUCUUCACAGAAGUUAAGUUAUUUGUGGACUCAAGGAUGAGAUUUCAACUAGUUGGGGGUGUGUGGAUGAAUUGCUGGCGCCAAGGGCUGUCAAAGUUCCUUUGGCACAUGAAGUAAAUGGUUUUCAAGCUUCUUGUCGCCAUCCUACUCCCACUUAUUUUCCACUUUCUCAUACUCCUCACACCAGUCACCAGUCAGGUCCUCCUAGAUUCCCAACAUUGGGAUUUCACUGAGGCUAUUGAAUGUGAUCUGAAGCAUGAUUGAGAGGACGUAUUCUUGUGUCUACAAUUCAGAUUCAAAGGAAACAAGGGAGGUAAAGUGUUUAUAGAACUUAUCCAUCUCCGGCCUUCAAAUUUUCUUACUUCACUGUGGCGAUUGAUUUAUAUAAUUUAUAGAUUUUGUCCAUCUCCCUUGAGCAGAGUUUGAAGGGACUAAGAUAAUAAGGAUGCACUCAGCACCCAUACAACGGCGGUACCACCUCGUAGGAUCCCACGCAAGAGAAGAGCGUCAUCAGAAGAAUGAAGGCACAUUAUUGUGGGCCUCACACCAUUCGCAGGACCCACACGGAGUCAGGGAGCCGGCCGAUACGGACGUCAGCCGGCCAGGUGAUACCCCGGUCGGAAGUCCCCCCCCCCCGUCGGUGGGCCCUGAAUCGGGCUCCGCAAGCUGGAAUGGGGCCCUCACUCGAGUUUCUGGAUCCGAUCGGAUGGUGGAUCAGCCUCGUCUCCCCAGAGAAUUUCAUACCCAAAGUCGUCCCACGUCACCCCGCGGUGGGCCCACAAUCGGGGUUUCUGGAGUUACUGGAUUCGAUCGGACCCCUCACUCGGGGUGGGGACCCACCUAGUCUGACCGGCUCGUUUCAUUGAUGGUCGGUGUUGUGAGAUGGCCCGUUUUAUGGGAUGUUAUAUGAUGACCGGUUUUGUGGGAGGUCGUGUUGUCGCUAGUUUUGUUCAUAUUUGUGAUGAUCUUGGUUUGAGAUGACCGGCGUUCCCAUAUGACGCGCACGCCUGUCCAGACUAUAAAAACUUCAGACGUGGGAGCUCUCUCUCCAUGGCAACUCCGGCCUCUUGUCUCGCCACCGAAUCGGAGAAUCAAUCAAGGCAGCAGCAGUUCGCACUGGGGGUUCUCGCAAUCUGCUUCACGAUGUUGAACGCCCAGCGCUCAGCACUGGAGGUCGGGAGCCUCUUCCUCUUCGAGCUGUACUCAGCCUUUGUUUAUCUGACCUUUACGGCGGCAGUCGUCCUCUCUGCUCUGUCCCUCCGCCCCCUAGAAGAGUUUCUCCGGCGACGGUCUGGUUACAGAAGUGUUGGCAGCCCAUCGCCCUCGUUUCGGCCUCGGCGGCCUUUGUGCUCAGGUCAUGCUUUUACCUUCCUCCUUCCAAGAUACUCCGCGUCUGGUUUGUUAUGCUCCCCACGGCGCUCGCCGGCACCCUGCUCCUCCUCCUUGCCCGGAACCGGUGGAAGGGCCACUCCGCCGUCCAAGACACCAACGAUGAAAUCCCGCCGGUCGUCGGGCUCCACCAAGAUCCCGGGCCCUCGUCUUUCCGGCUGCCGAGCAUGGUUUCCUCACCAUGCUCCUCGGAUCCGGGGGAGGGGAAAUGCAGCGCCGGUCUCACCACAGAACCUUGAGAUGUCACCCCCCAACCCACAGAACCAGUGGGUCAUCCGACGGCGCGGCGCUGGAGGAAUUUCGCUGCACUGCCAUAGCUAGGUUUUCCGCAGAGGAUGAUGGAAUCGGAGAGGACCGACCAGACCACCUCGGAGCUGCGAUCCGCCCUCUCUAGCCGAGGGGUGGGUCUCGAAUGGCGUGGGGCCCACGCAGCGGCUAGGAUAAUUGUUUAAAUUUCUUAUAACCUUUUUGAAUAAUCCAGGAAAAAAAGUUACCAAAUUUGCUCUUUCCGUAUAUAUUACGUCACUAAUUGGAUCGAAUUCAGAUCGCUCUUACGCGAAAAGGGCGCUUCGCCACCCCCCAUCUGCCUGCGCCCACAACCGGCCAAAAUGGGAGGGGCCCAAACCGAUUCCGGCCCCUCAACCGCGCUCAUCUCCCAUCAGUAAGAUCCGACCCAGCUUCAUGAAGGAGUGCGGAAGAAACGUGGGCCAUCCGAGGCCCAGCUACGUCUUCACGGUGCUGGGCGUAGGCCACCGGGUAGGGCCGAGCUUUGUCCGAGGUUCCCUCAAAAUCCCCUCUCAGAUCAGCGUUCCCUCCAAUCCCUCCUCCACGAUGCUGGGCGUCUGUAAUCCUUCAUUUACGAUGCCGGGUGGGCCCGACCUUUGUCCCAGGUUCCUCUCAUUCACCCCUCCCCAGUUGGAGGACGAAAGAAAAGAGGGGAAGCUCUACGUAGCCAUCGGUCACGAAUGCCGAGAUCAGGAACAUGUAACCGAUGGCCGUUGGUAUCCGCUGCAAUCGGGCCAUCGCGGGGUUACGAUGGACGAUGAGGGAGCAGAAGACGACGCUCACCCCGCAGGCGAGGGCCAUGUAGAGGGAAGUGUGGUAAAUAUGGAAGGGUGUUGCUUGAGGAUCCAGCCUCGGCAGCUGGUUCCUUAUAAAGAAGGCGGCAAUUGUGCACAGGAGUAACGCCGCGCCUUCGACGAAGCGACCGCCGUCGAACGGUAUCGUGGAAGCGCCCGAAUCCGAGCGAUUCGCCGGUGGUCGGUGGAGUUCGCCGGCGGGAACCUCGAUCGGGACAGCGUCGGGCGGUGGCGCCACCGUAGAGGGCCGUCACUGCUCUGCGGUUGGCGGCGGCCCGUCUUUGGAACCAGCUGCGGACUUGAAAGAAGCGCGCCACCAGAGCUGUGCUAUCAUGGAGAAGAAUCUUAAGAGGUAUUUCGAAGGGGCUGUCGCCAUUGAAUCUCCCUCUUCCUCUCCCUCUCCCUCUCCCUCCUUUAAGCGCCACGAGCCAGUGGAUCGCAGCCUCUACCCGCGUCAGCUCUCCACGUCAAGGGUGUCCUCUAAGUCCGGAGCUUUCUCAACUUCGUGUAAUUCAGCGCCUUGCUGAGCGGCCCCACAUCUUCGGAGACCGCUGCUCUGAACCGUCCUAUCGGACGGUGGACAAUACACGCCGGAUUGAUCCACCCCGAUCGAACGGUGAUGAGGGUGAGUGGCACGAUGGGGCACCGGUUGGACGUCUUACACGUUGGACUGCGCAGGCUGAAUAAAUUUCACGCCAUGGUGCGGCCAAUCUCCUCGUGUGGACCCCACCGAGCGUCAAUCUCUCCCGAUUCGCAGAACCAGCACGGCACCCGGAGAUCCACGGGGAGGGCAUAUAAAUUUCCGAUCUGCCUGAAUCUGCCCGAUCGGACGGUGGACGAGGGACAGCACCAUGGAGCUGAUCGCGGCCUCUCCGUCACGGAAGCCUGAUCGGACGGUGACAGAUCCACGCCGGGUCGAUGCGCGCGAUCCACGGGUUCCCAUGGUGAAGACGUAGAACGCAAGUCUUUUACAAAUCUUCCGAAUUUUUUAAAAAAAUGAAUCGGGUACCCCCUCCGUCUUUCGAAUGGUACUGGCCGGCUACGUCCGCCCUGGCAAAGUUUCCAGAGGCCCAAAACCUAUAAGAAAAGAGCCUUUUUUAUGUUAAAUGUUGUCAAGAGCCCAGAUAGGCCGGGCCAAUCCACUCACUCGAUCCUAUGAAUAGCGAGGUUAAUGCACACCUAGAUCGCCUCUGUCUACAUGUAUUUACAGUUUAUUUAACGUGGGAGUGGCCCUUCCAGCCAUCAUUCGAAUGUCUUCCCGCUGUUUUUCAGGAAAGAAAACCAAAGUCCGAGUUUGAUCAGAAGACGGGCAUGAGGGGGUACAUUAGCGGGGCGCGUUAAAAUUUUAGGCUAGAAAUGGGCUGGGAUAGUGAACUCACAUGCCCUCCACUCUCUCAACGCCUUCGACUCAACCGAGAGUUCCAACCUCAUUUAAUUAUUAGAUCAUUUAAUUCGAAGCUAGUCGACGCUGAGUGGAGCAUGCCUGUCUCUACGAUCAGAGUUCUUUUUUUCUCUAGUAAGUAUUCUGAUACUAUUUUCAAUAAUUUGGAUUGGGCGAUGAGUGAGACAGUAAAGUUGUUGGAUACGUCCCGAUUGGUGGGGAUGGGGGGGGAGAGAGAGAGGGCGACCCCACUCCAAGAUUGGUCUAUUUGAGAUGGCAUACCUCUACUAGCUUGCCUUCCCUGCUAAUGUGGCAUGUACUUAUAGAUCCUUGUGGAUUGCCAAUUUAACUCUUUCGUCAAACUUACCCUUUUCUGGGAUGAUGUACGUUGCCAUCCAAAAUCUAGCUUUUCCAUGUGUUGGUCCAGUUCCGAUGUAGAUGAGAGGGAUGAAAGUAUCCAUCGAGCUACCAAGGAAACCACCUGGAAUGUCAAUAGUGAUUGAUGUCCAUCCAUGUAGGACUGGAUGAAGAAUGGAAAUGCCAAUCUUUCAAGUGGAUUAAUUAUUCAAGGAGAAUUUUCCUCCAUUAUUUGUAAGCAAAUACAAGACCUUUGAUGAUAAUGUUAGUCUAGAUGUGAAGUAAAAUGUAGGGUCACAUUUUGAGAGUCUAUAAAUGAUGGGCGCGUCGCCCUCUCUCUCUCUCUCUCCCGCACGUCGCCCUCUCUCUCUUCCCCCUCUUCCGCACGGGUCACUCCCUCCAACUGUCUCUCUCUUCCCCGCGGCCUUCCGCACAUUUCCCCUCUUUCUCUCUCCUAACCGCGCCACCAGUGUCUUUCUUUUUUCUCUUGCUUUCUCUCUCCUCCCCGCCGCGUCGUUCCCUCAUUCUCUCUCUCCCACGCGUUGCCCUCUCUCUCCCGCCCGUCGCCCUCUCUCUCUCCCGCGCGUCGUCCUCUCUCUCUCUCUCUCCCGCGCAUCGCCCUCUCUCACUCUCUCCCGCUCGUCGCCCUCUCUNNNNNNNNNNNNNNNNNNNNUCUCUCUCUCUCUUCCCUUCCUUCCGUCACGCGUCACUUCUCUUUCCUUCUCUCUCUCUCUGUUUUCCUCUCGUCUGCUCUCCCUCUCGCGCUCGCCAUCUCUCUCUCUAUCACUCCACGCUCUCUCUCUCUCUCUCUCUCUCUCAUUCUCUUUUAUUGCUCGCUAGUUACGUAUUCCUAUUCCCCUUUCUCCAUCGUCAUCUUUAUCUCUCUUUAUUUCACUCUGACCGUGGUAUCUCCUCGUCCACACUUCUUCCAUUUCUGGUCUUUCGUCAUUUUCCUCAAGAUAUAAGAGUUUAAUCAAAGAGAUACGCCUUCAAAGACCACAAGACAUAAAUCUCCAUUGAGUCAUGUUGGCUUCUUAUUUCAUGAUAUUUGGUCAGUUCUAAAAUAAUUCACAUGCUUUUAGUGUGAGUGAUCAUAGAUUAAUCUUUUUCAUUAAUUUAGUGAUCUUUACAUAUGGUUGUGAUAUUAUUUAUGACUCUUUGAAGUAGAAUUCGGUUAUUUGAAUCUUCUCGAGUAUAGUGUUUUAAUAGAUUUCAAAGAAAAAAGACAAAUAUAUUACAGAGUUUGUCCAUUGCCAUACUACAAAUUUAAAAUUUGACUGAUCGUAUUGAUUUAUAGAGCGGAUUAUAUGUACAUACAGCCGAAGGUAAGAAUUGGGGCAAUCUGAAGAUGCCAUUUUUCAAGGGGUACCAUCGAAGAAGAAGAGGUAGGAGAUGAUCGCGAUGGUGAUCCCUCCCAGAGACCAGAUCACGGCGUUGAAGGCGAACGGCAUCGUCGAGGAGAGCUUGAAGGGAAAUAAGAUUACGAGGAUGGUCGAAAGCACCCAGAUGAUGAUCUUCAGGCGUCCCUUUCUCUCCGGUGGCGCCGUCUCGUAGGAUCCCACGCACCAGAAGAACAGCAUCAGGAGUACGUAGGCGGACACAACAAAGGCCGCUGUCCAUGGAUCGCUCCGGGCUCGGUAGGUCGCCACCACGGAUGUGUAGGUCAGGAACCCUAGAGGGGCCUUACUCAACAAGGACCGAACACAGCUGUUGUCGAGGAUGCUCAGGAGACCCGCGGACGGAGCCUUCGCCGCGUGAGGCGGACGAAGCGCCGGGAGUGAGCCAUCCGGCUGCGCGGCGCUGGAGGAAUUUCGCUACUGCACUGCCAUGAUAGGGUUUUCUCAGAGGAUGUGGAAUCGGGGAGGG
rnacentral:lncRNA from 1 species